rnacentral:rRNA from 1 species
GUGUCAGCAGCCGCGGUAAUACGGAGGGUGCAAGCGUUAUCCGGAUUUAUUGGGUUUAAAGGGUCCGUAGGCGGACUAGUAAGUCAGUGGUGAAAUCCGACAGCUUAACUGUCGAACUGCCAUUGAUACUGUUAGUCUUGAGUAAGGUUGAAGUGGCUGGAAUAAGUAGUGUAGCGGUGAAAUGCAUAGAUAUUACUUAGAACACCAAUUGCGAAGGCAGGUCACUAAGUCUUAACUGACGCUGAUGGACGAAAGCGUGGGUAGCGAACAGGAUUAGAAACCCCCGUAGUCC